rnacentral:misc_RNA from 1 species
AAAAAAUCGCUACAUAAAAUGGGUACUACCACUAAUGUUGUAAACCAGGGGGGAAGAUAAAUGAGGAAAGACUUGUACAUUUCCCCUGCAGCCAUGUCAGCUUCAUGCUGCUGUUGUUGAGACAAAUGAACAUCUCCCUUAGACUGGGAUUGUCGAAUAAAUCCAAAGCUGCAUAGUAAAGAUUUUCUGGAAUGCCUUCUAUCUCAUCCAAA